rnacentral:rRNA from 1 species
GAUGAACGCUGGCGGCGUGCCUAAUACAUGCAAGUCGAGCGAACGGACGAGAAGCUUGCUUUUCUGAUGUUAGCGGCGGACGGGUGAGUAACACGUGGAUAACCUACCUAUAAGACUGGGAUAACUUCGGGAAACCGGAGCUAAUACCGGAUAAUAUUUUGAACCGCAUGGUUCAAAAGUGAAAGACGGUCUUGCUGUCACUUAUAGAUGGAUCCGCGCUGCAUUAGCUAGUUGGUAAGGUAACGGCUUACCAAGGCAACGAUGCAUAGCCGACCUGAGAGGGUGAUCGGCCACACUGGAGCUGAGACACGGUCCAGACUCCUACGGGAGGCAGCAGUAGGGAAUCUUCCGCAAUGGGCGAAAGCCUGACGGAGCAACGCCGCGUGAGUGAUGAAGGUCUUCGGAUCGUAAAACUCUGUUAUUAGUGAAGAACAUAUUUGUAAGUAACUGUGCACAUCUUGACGGUACCUAAUCAGAAAGCCACGGCUAACUACGUG